CAGUAGCCACGGUAAUACGGAGGGCGCGAGCGUUACCCGGAUUUACUGGGCGUAAAGGGCGUGUAGGCGGCCUGGGGCGUCCCAUGUGAAAGGCCACGGCUCAACCGUGGAGGAGCGUGGGAUACGCUCAGGCUAGAGGGUGGGAGAGGGUGGUGGAAUUCCCGGAGUAGCGGUGAAAUGCGCAGAUACCGGGAGGAACGCCGAUGGCGAAGGCAGCCACCUGGUCCACUUCUGACGCUGAGGAGCGAAAGCGUGGGGAGCGAACAGGAUUAGAUACCCGGGUAGUCCCUGUCUCUUAUAC
rnacentral:rRNA from 1 species